rnacentral:rRNA from 1 species
UACGAAGGGUGCAAGCGUUAUUCGGAUUUAUUGGGUGUAAAGGGUGCGUAGACGGCAUGUUAAGUCCGCUGUUAAAUUUCCCAGCUUAACUGGGAGCCAGCGGUGGAUACUGAUGUGCUAGAGGAUGGAAGAGAGAAGUGGAAUUCCCGGAGUAGCGGUAAAAUGCGUAGAUCUCGGGAGGAACACCAAUGGCGAAGGCAGCUCGCUGGGACGAUACUGACGCUAAGGCGCGAAAGCGUGGGGAGCGAACAGG